UGGGGAAUAUUGGACAAUGGGCGAAAGCCUGAUCCAGCCAUGCCGCGUGUGUGAAGAAGGUCUUCGGAUUGUAAAGCACUUUAAGUUGGGAGGAAGGGCAGUAAGCGAAUACCUUGCUGUUUUGACGUUACCGACAGAAUAAGCACCGGCUAACUCUGUGCCAGCAGCCGCGGUAAUACAGAGGGUGCGAGCGUUAAUCGGAUUUACUGGGCGUAAAGCGUGCGUAGGCGGCUAAUUGAGUCGGAUGUGAAAUCCCCGAGCUUAACUUGGGAAUUGCAGUCGAUACUGGUUAGCUAGAGUGUGGGAGAGGAUGGUAGAAUUCCAGGUGUAGCGGUGAAAUGCGUAGAGAUCUGGAGGAGUACCGAUGGCGAAGACAGCCAUCUGGCCUAACACUGACGCUGAGGUACGAAAGCAUGGGGAGCAAACAGG
rnacentral:rRNA from 1 species